GCCUGGUUAGCUUAGUUGGUAGUGCGUCUGCCUUGUAAGUCUGCCGCGGGUUCGAUUCCCGCCCGGGGCG
rnacentral:tRNA from 1 species